rnacentral:sRNA from 1 species
UGACCUUGAUCCCGACAGCAUGCUAUG